GGAGUUGGUAGCUCAGUGGUAGAGUGCUACAUGCUUUGUAUGUAUGAUGUCCUGGGUUUAAUCCCAGCUUCACCCCA